rnacentral:rRNA from 1 species
GAUGAACGCUGGCGGCGUGCCUAACACAUGCAAGUCGAGCGAACGGACGAGAAGUUUGCUUCUCCGAUGUUAGCGGCGGACGGGUGAGUAACACGUGGAUAACCUACCUCUAGGACUGGGAUAACUUCGGGAAACCGUAGCUAAUACGGGAUAAUAUUUUGAACUUCAUGGUUCAAGAGUGAAAUACGGUCUUGCUGUCACUUAUUGAUGGAUCCGUGCUGCAUUAGCUAGUUGGUAAGGUAACGGCUUACCAAGGCAACGAUGGAUAGCCGACCUGAGAGGGUGGUCGACCACACGGGAAGUGAGACACGGUCCAGACUCCGACAGGGAGAAGCAGUAGGGAAUCUUCCGGGAGGGGCGAAAGCCUGACGGAGCAAAACCGCGUAAGUGAUGACGGACUCCGGAUCGGAAAACGCUGUUGUUAGUGGAAAACUAAUAUGUUAUUAACUGUGACCAUAAUGACGGUACCUAGAGAAAAAGCCCCGGCUAACUACGUG